UGGUCGCGAAAAACUUAUUUUCAGCAACCAAAAAAAAUUAGUCGCCAAAUUAGUACUUUUAGCGACUAAUAUUUUAGUCGCUGUUGAUUGAGAUUUGGCGACUAAAAAAAUUUGUCGGCGAAAGAACCUGUUUUUGCGACUAAUUUAAUCUUUUGGUCGCCAAAAGUUUGGGGGGAAAUUUGAAAGAUGGAGGGGGGAAAUGAAAUUUGAACCACCGUCGCACUCCUUAUUAGUUGUAUGCAUGUACUACUGUUGCAACUUGCAAGUGUCGAACAAUGAAAGGAACAAGACUUUCGAAGUAGCAGAUGACUCCCCAAACCUCAUUUUCUCUCUCAUGUCGAAAACCCUUCUCUCCCGCAUCAAACCUCAUCACAACCCCAAACCCAGUUCUUCCCCUUCCUUCUCCUUCAAACCCUUGAUCAAGCGACUCGUCAACGAACUCUGUGACAUCCUCAAAACCCACCACCACAAUCAAUGGCAAGACACCCUCGAAACCCGCCUCUCCAAAGAAGAAAUCGUCCCAUCUGACAUUGCCCAUUUGGUGCUCGACCGUAUUCGCGAUCCCGAAUUGGGUUUGAAGUUCUUUGAUUGGGUCACUCAACGCCCAUACGGUUGUUCUCUUGAUGGGUUUGCUUAUUCUUUUCUUCUUAAGCUCUUGGCCAGCUCUAGAGUGUUUUCAGAGAUUGAGACUGUGUUGGAGAGUAUGAAAGUUGAAGACAAGUUACCGACUCGGGAAGCUUUGGAUGCUGUAAUUCGAGCGUAUUCGGAUUCUGGGAGUCUUGAAGCAAAUCAAUUUUCUGGCAGUGUUCCUCCUGAACUCGGGAAACUAAGUAACUUGACAACUUUGGAGGAGGUUUUUCAAGUUGGAUGAAAUCCAUAGAAUGAGACCAUAUUAGCUUCUUGUUGUCUUGGGAGGAGGCUUAUGGUGUGGGAUCUUCGCAGUGUAGUGAUAAGCUUGGUCUACGCUUAGAGCUGGGUUCCUUUGCUGCUGGAGUGAUGAUAUCAACUGAUCUUGCUCAGCAUACACUCAAACAAAAAAUGCUAAUAGCCUAUAUUAGUGUACAUUCAAGGGUGGUGGGAAGAAUGGACAAGCUAUGUAUCAAACCCAACCUUUGGCAUUGUUUGCGUGAAGUGGCUGCCCUCAGAUUAUAAUAUGCAGUCCAAGCAUUUAUCAUUCCACAAAGCAAUUUUCCAUAUAUGUGGUUUCUACGUAUGUGUAUAUACAAAUAGUGUAAAAGCAUACAUACCUGUAUACAAGCAGUGUAAAAACAUACAUGAAUGAAAUGGUAGGUCUAUCCCAGAACUUCCAGAAUUCAUGUCAAAUUGAAUAUAGAUUGAGCUGCGAUCACUGUAGGUAUUAAUCACACUUAAAAUGUGUGGUCUAAAUGUUUAUUAUCACAGGUUUUAUUAGUAAUUAAUCAUACUUAAAAGAUGUGAUCUAA